rnacentral:pre_miRNA from 14 species
AAAGCCAUUUCCACAAGUCAAUCCCAAGCCAAAUCGGUAGCACUUCCUUGUGUUGUGUCAACCAGAUUAGGAUGAGAUUUACUCGUUCCGUCGGCUAUAUA